rnacentral:lncRNA from 1 species
CAGUCAAGAGAGAGAGGGAGCGCGUUUUGCCAAACCAGAGAUGAAGGGUGAAAAUUGGUUUACAAUUCAAUGCGAGCCUCUCUCCCUCUCAAUGUGGAGAUCACGGUACGCAAUUCAAAGAGUUCACUUCCGUUGCAAGCUCUCUGGUUCACUUUCUCUCUCUUCUUCCUCUGUCUCUCAUUCAAUGUGAGAGCGCAUUUCUCUGGUUCACUCUCUCUCUUCCUCCUCUCUCUCUCUCAUUCAAUGUGAGAGGGCCGUUCUCUGGUUUACUUUCUCUCCUCCUUCAAUGACGGGGCAUUUCUCAGGUUCACUUUCUCUCUCUUCUUUCCCCUCAAUGUGAGGGCAUUUGGGUAACAGAAAGAGCUGCCUCUCUCUCUCUUUCCAAAUCUGAACUGAUCUGAGCCGUCAGUGCGAUGAUCACCGGCACUUGUCUUCAAAUCCAGGCCAUCUCACUCUCUCCUCUGCCUCAACUCCCCGCGGGGUUUAAAACAUUACAGCUUAACAUUUAAGUCGCCACUUUCUCUAUCCUCUUAGACCUUCACAUUGCACUUUCUCUCUCUAAACCUCACAUACUUUUCGUUAAUUCUCAUAUAUUUUUCCUUAAAUAUGUUUAAGCUUUGCAGCCGCCUUCGGCCGGGACAAAUAUCGCCAACCAGAUUAUAAUGG